rnacentral:rRNA from 1 species
UACGGAGGGUGCAAGCGUUAAUCGGAAUUACUGGGCGUAAAGCGUGCGCAGGCGGUUUGUUAAGUCCGCUGUGAAAUCCCCGAGCUCAACUCUGGGAAUUGCAGUGGAUACUGGCAAGCUGGAGUAUGGUAGAGGAAGGUGGAAUUCCCGGUGUAGCAGUGAAAUGCGUAGAGAUCGGGAGGAACACCAGUGGCGAAGGCGGCCUUCUGGACCAAUACUGACGCUCAUGCACGAAAGCGUGGGAGCGAACAGG